rnacentral:tRNA from 1 species
GCGAGAGUGGCGGAACUGGCAGACGCGCACGUUUGAGGGGCGUGUGGUUCUUACCAUACGGGUUCAAGUCCCGUUUCUCGCACCA